rnacentral:rRNA from 1 species
UACGGAGGGAGCUAGCGUUAUUCGGAAUUACUGGGCGUAAAGCGCACGUAGGCGGCUUUGUAAGUAAGAGGUGAAAGCCUGGAGCUCAACUCCAGAACUGCCUUUUAGACUGCAUCGCUUGAAUCCAGGAGAGGUGAGUGGAAUUCCGAGUGUAGAGGUGAAAUUCGUAGAUAUUCGGAAGAACACCAGUGGCGAAGGCGGCUCACUGGACUGGUAUUGACGCUGAUGCGCGAAAGCCAGGGGAGCAAACGGG